rnacentral:lncRNA from 1 species
GUUGUGAGAUAGGUCGAAGAAGUCUCAGGUUAUGUUUUCCCACACCAGUAAGGCUUGAUGUAAGUAUUAGAUCAGUAGACUCAAGCUUCGCAGAAGCAGGUUGUUUCGAAACAAUAAUUUUGAUGUGGCAUAGCCCGAGAGUUGUCCAAAUAAGUGCAUGAUUCGUAUUGAGAUGGACCACAUGAAUUGCAGGAGUACAUGCCAACGUUCCAUGACAUGACCACGCUGAACCGCCCCCUAUGGCUGUAGCAAUGCGUCCUUUUGCUGCAAGAAAAGUCACUGAACUUAUGAGCAAUUUUAGAACUGAUAUUUGGAAAGAGGAAUAUCUGGAAGCGUUAUCUAGGACGCUUUAGAUGCUUGAUGUCAUUGUGUUUGUUCUUUCCGAAUACACCAAUCUCAACAGUUGCGUGUCCGUUUUCCAUUCCGUGUAAAAGAAUUAGCACACAAACAAUCCUUCAAUUGUCUCAACGUCUCGUGAUCGUAGGAAGUGCAAAAUCCAUUCCGAGUUCUGAUAACGGCUCGGUGGUUCUGUGAAAGGGUAGAGAACGGGUUCAUGAACCCCACAACAUCAAAUCAUUUCUGAAGAAUUUAGGUUGGCGCAUCUGUAUACGGAACCUCUGUAGAUACACAAUGACAACAGUGUGCCAACGCUCUAACAUAGCGUGAGAUGCACGGAAUGCAAGGGCUUCCAGGAGGCUCUACAAGGAACGAACCUUUGAAACAGCGUCCCUGUGUGAAACAAUCUCUUGUCUCUGUUCAUCGUAUUGUUGUGUUGACCAUCGUGCAAUGUCCUGAGUCACGUGAUCCGUUACCUCCCUUCAAAUAGUUAAAUGACCAGCAUCGCGCUAUAUGCGCCCCAAACUGUGCGAGCUUAUUUUACCCUUAGUUGUUUGGAUUGCCAAUUAAACUGACUCGCACUGUCAUCUUCGAAACCGUUACUUUCGCGGGUACAGUGCUUCUUUGGAACACAUGCGUAGGCAAUUCGGACGUAAAUGACCAGGGGUCAUUCGUCACUUUCCUAUGGGGUCUUCGAAAGGUAACAGACAGAGCCCCGAUAUUCUACAACAACGAGAAUGCCAUCAACCAUGUCAUAUUGACCCCCCAGCACAGCCAACAAUAGCUGUGCUUGGAAUUACAAGGUGGAGCCUCCCGCGUCAACAACUGCAGUUGAAAGGCGUUGCUCAGGUCCUGAAAGGAACCUGCCUCUGGUGGUGGAUGACUACCAGGAGAGGGGGAGGGCGAUUUGAAUGGCACCUUCGGGCCAGCCUUCCACUUGCAAUUGUGUCUUCCUCAGUCGCUCUCACGUCGCCGUUGGAGGCAGAGUGUCCCCUCUCUCUCUCUCCCUCACUCUCUCACUAUCUCGCACAUGCAGGGUCUUCGAGGGAAGCUCCGGAAAAGGAAAAUCGGUUCUUGACCAAUUCGGCCAAAGGUGGGAAGCUUUCCGCGCUUGAAAGUUGCCAUCCUCUUUCCAUGAUUGAAGCGACGACAACACUCGCUGUAGCUGUUAUUACUCACUAACUAAAGGUAGGAUCAGGGUGUCUUUCGGUAGGUCAAAGGAUACGCCCGUUUUCCACCACCCAUUGACGCAGAUGAAAGAAACCUCGGACUAAAUUGGCAUAGAAAACAACGCCGUUUUACCUCACUACUCACGCGGACUUUUUUCUCCUCCCUCACCCCCCUAAACAUUGGAGCUCCACGAUAUUGGCACCAACCUACCUCCCAACCUCAA